rnacentral:rRNA from 1 species
GAUGAACGCUGGCGGCGUGCCUAAUACAUGCAAGUCGAGCGAACAGACGAGGAGCUUGCUCCUCUGAUGUUAGCGGCGGACGGGUGAGUAACACGUGGAUAACCUACCUAUAAUACUGGGAUAACUUCGGGAAACCGGAGCUUAUACCGGAUAACAUCUUGAACCGCAUGGUUCAACAGUGAAAGACGGUCUUGCUGUCACUUAUAGCUGGAUCCGCGCGGCAUUAGCUAGUUGGUAAGGUAACGGCUUACCAAGGCAACGAUGCGUAGCCGACCUGUGAGGGUGAACGGCCACACUGGAAGUGUGCGACGGUACAGACUCCUACGGGAGGCAGCAGUAGGGAAUCGUGCGCGAUGGGCGAAAGCCUGACGGAGCAGCGCCGCGUGGGUGAAGAAGGUCUUCGGAUCGUAAAACUCUGUUAUUAGGGAAGAACAAAUGUGUAAGUAACUAUGCACGUCUUGACGGUACCUAAUCAGAAAGCAACGGCUAACUACGUG